ACUAUAUUGGCAGAAAAUAUGCAAUAAAUUUAGAAUUUAUUUAAAUAAUUAAAAAUUAUAUUUAGUA
rnacentral:tRNA from 1 species